rnacentral:rRNA from 1 species
GGUUGAUCCUGCCAGUAGUCAUAUGCUUGUCUCAAAGAUUAAGCCAUGCAUGUCUAAGUAUAAGCUUUUAUACGGUGAAACUGCGAAUGGCUCAUUAAAUCAGUUAUAGUUUAUUUGAUAGUACCUUACUACAUGGAUAACCGUGGUAAUUCUAGAGCUAAUACAUGCGAACAAUCCCGACUUUUCGGAAGGGAUGUAUUUAUUAGAUACAAAACCAAUCGGGUUCGCCCGUUCCUUGGUGAUUCAUAAUAACUGCUCGAAUCGUAUGGCUUUACGCCGACGAUGGUUCAUU